CUCACUUCGAGUAUUGUACGCAGUACUGGAGACCAUAUCUUUAGAAGGAUAUUGAUACUUUGGAGAGAGUUCAGAGAAGGGCUACUAAACUGGUUCAUGGAUUGCAGGAUAAAACUUACCAGGAAAGGUUAAAGGAUCUUAACAUGUAUAGCUUGGAGGAAAGACGAGACGGGGGGAUAUGAUAGAAACAUUUAAAUACAUAAAGGGAAUCAACACAGUAAAGG